UACGGAGGGAGCUAGCGUUGUUCGGAAUUACUGGGCGUAAAGCGCACGUAGGCGGCUUAGCAAGUCGGAUGUGAAAUCCCUCGGCUCAACCAAGGAAGUGCAUCCGAAACUGCUGAGCUUGAGUACUUAAGAGGAUCGCGGAAUUCCCGGUGUAGAGGUGAAAUUCGUAGAUAUCGGGAGGAACACCAGUGGCGAAGGCGGCGAUCUGGGAAGAUACUGACGCUGAGGUGCGAAAGCGUGGGGAGCAAACGGG
rnacentral:rRNA from 1 species